rnacentral:rRNA from 1 species
UACGAGAGGCCCAAACGUUAUUCGGAAUUACUGGGCUUAAAGAGUUCGUAGGCGGCAUGAAAAGUAGGGUGUGAAAGCCCUCGGCUCAACCGAGGAAUUGCGCUCUAAACUGUCGUGCUCGAGGAACCUAGAGGUGAGCAGAACAGAUGGUGGAGCGGUGAAAUGCGUUGAUAUCAUCUGGAAUACCGGAGGCGAAGGCGGCUCACUGGGGGUUUUCUGACGCUGAGGAACGAAAGCCAGGGGAGCAAACGGG